rnacentral:lncRNA from 1 species
CACCACCUGCGCCCGCGCACACGGCCGUGCCACCCGUGGGUCACCCAAUGGCACCCAUAGGUCACCAAUGCCACCCAAUGGCACCCAGUGCCACCCAUGGGUCACCAACGCCACCCAAUGCCACCCAGUGCCACCCAUGGGUCACCAAUGCCACCCAAUGCCACCCAAUGGNNNNNNNNNNNNNNNNNNNCCACCUAAUGCCACCCAUGGGUCACCAACGCCACCCAAUGGCACCCAGUGCCACCCAUGGGUCACCAACGCCACCCAAUGGCACCCAUAGGUCACCAACACCACCCAAUGGCACCCAAUGCCACCCGUGGGUCACCAACGCCACCCAAUGGCACCCAGUGCCACCCAUGGGUCACCAAUGCCACCCAAUGGCACCCAGUGCCACCCGUGGGUCACCAACGCCACCCAAUGCCACCCAAUGGCACCCAGUGCCAUCCGUGGGUCACCAAUGCCACCCAAUGGCACCCGUGGCUCACCAACGCCUCCCAAUGGCACCCAGUGCCACCCGUGGGUCACCCAAUGCCACCCAAGGGCACCCAGUGCCACACUGUGCCACCCAGUAGCCACCAUGCGUCACCAAUGCCACCCAAUUACACCCAUGAGUCACCAAUGCCACCCAAUGGCACCCAGUGCCACCCGUGGGUCACCAACGCCACCCAAGGGCACCCAGUGCCACCCGUGGGUCACCCAAUGGCACCCAAUGGCACCCAGUGCCACCUGUGGGUCACCAAUGCCACCCAAUGGCACCCAAUGCCACCCAUGGGUCACCCAAUGCCACCCAGUGCCACCCGUGGGUCACCAACGCCACCCAAGGGUCACCAACGCCAC